CAAGGAGCCACGGCAAAAGCGAAUGGUGCGCAAAGUUGUUUCUGCUCCUCCUGCUCCAGCUUACAGAGGUUUUAGUGCUGCGAGUCUGAGGUCUGCUCUUUUCUUGCCUGAUGAAGCGCGUGGAAUACCACAGAGAGAAGAAUUUAGCAUGCCUGGAGGACAGCGAGGUUAUAAAAAAGCCCUCAAGAUCCCAGACCAAGGAGAAAGAAGCUCAGCAGGGAGAAUUCAAAGCCUGAGGCAGCCUUCACCCCGGUCAUCUGUUCUGGACAGAGCAGUGAC